rnacentral:lncRNA from 1 species
AUGGGGGCAAGGGGCAGGGUGCCCUCCCGCUGCUCCUGCCCUCACCCCGCUCUGAACACCGCAGGGAGCCACAAUUUUGGGGGGUGUCAGAGCAGGAGAGGGAGCAGGGAGGGGAUGGCUUUAAACUGCGAGGAGUGCCAGCCUCCCUCCACGUCCCAGGCUGCCUGCUUGGAAAAAUACCCCGGUUAUAGGCAGAGAUAUAAAAAAAAAUAUAUAUAUAGCAGCAGGCAGCGCGGGAGCUGGACUCGGGCUUGUCCGCCCACUGCCCGGCACCGCUCCAGGACUGCCGAGGGAGCCCCCAUCCCAUCCCGUCACCCCCUUCCCACCCCAAAACCCCGUUCCUGCCGGCUUCCCCCCUUCCCCGUCCCAGAACAAAGUGAGAAGCCGGCGGAGCCUCUGCCUCUCCUCCUGCGGGGAGAGGAAGAUUUGGGGCACUCGGUGGUUUUUGGGAAGGUUUGGAAAGGCUUCCCGGCCGCCCACAGCUCCUUCCAACCCUUGUGGAGACCACCCCAAACAUCUCCUCUCCCUCUUCGGAGAGUGUCCCCGUGGGGUGUGUGCGAGAAGGAGGGGUUGGGGAGGGUGAGGGGGGGGGGGGGGGGGGGGGGGGGGGGGAAGAGAGAGAAGAGGCUGCUUUCGGCAGCUCCAGCCAACGAGACAUCUGGAUUAUUUCCCCCCCAUCCUCCCUCCCUCGCUGGUUUCCGUUCUUCCCAGCGAGCGGAGCAGCCCCGGCCAUUGCUGGCGAGUGGAAAACCAGUGGAAACCAGCUCGGCUUCGGGGCGGGGGGGGACACGGGGGAGGGAGGAGGAAGAGAGAAGGGAAGGUGGGCAGACGGAUGGACGGACAGAUGGACGGACAGGGGUCCCCUCGCCUCGUGGAGGAAAGGAGAGCGUGGGUCAGCCUUUGCCCCCUAAUCACGAGCUCGGAGCAGCACACUUGGGCAGAGGGAGGGCAGAGACACAGCGGGGGCAAAGGAGAGGAGGAAAAAGGGCUGGCACCAUCCACCCCCUUCCCUGGGAGCAGCGGGGAAGAGCUGAGGGUCCCCAUGGGGGUCCGCAGGGCAGCCCAGGCCUAUGGGGCUGGCGGAUUCCUCCCCUCCCAGCCCUAUGCCUUGUGCCAAGGGGGGGAUCCUGCCCCCACGCCGUGCUCCCACCCCAAAUCCGCCACGUGCCCAGCGUGUCCCAGCCUCGAGGCUUUGCAGAGACACGAGCAGAGAGAGGCAGGGGCUGGGGGGUGGCAGGAAGCGAGGCUGCCAGCGUCCUGUGGCCCGGCCACUGCCACCAAGGGGAGGCAGCCAAUGCUGGCGGCCUCCGGGGGGGAGGUUUGUUUUCCCUUCCCAGGCAUUAA